GAAGGGUGCAAGCGUUACUCGGAAUUACUGGGCGUAAAGCGUGCGUAGGUGGUUGUUUAAGUCUGUUGUGAAAGCCCUGGGCUCAACCUGGGAAUUGCAGUGGAUACUGGGCGACUAGAGUGUGGUAGAGGGUAGUGGAAUUCCCGGUGUAGCAGUGAAAUGCGUAGAGAUCGGGAGGAACAUCCAUGGCGAAGGCAGCUACCUGGACCAACACUGACACUGAGGCACGAAAGCGUGGGGAGCAAACAGGAUUAGAUACCCUGGUAGUCCACGCCCUAAACGAUGCGAACUGGAUGUUGGGUGCAAUUUGGCACGCAGUAUCGAAGCUAACGCGUUAAGUUCGCCGCCUGGGAGUACGGUCGCAAGACUG
rnacentral:rRNA from 1 species